rnacentral:lncRNA from 1 species
AACCGUUUCCGAGUUUUAAUCCUUUUUAAUCGUUCAAGCACAUAUGACUUAUGAGGCACCCUAUACAAGCUACAUAAUAAUAUAUAGUCACUCAUCAUAAUUCAUUGAGGCCACAAUGUUAAGUUGUUAAAAGGAUUAGCCUGUUUAGUAUCUUAUCAUCAGCAUUAGUUUAGUCUCCAAAGCAGGAUCUAAGAACUCUUUGUUAUGCGCAAUCCAAUAUUUAUCAAAAGCAACAACAAUGGAGAUGGUAGCGAUCGUUGGCUCUGAUGAUGAAGGAUUUGUUCCUACUACUAGGAAAACCUAUUUUAAUUAUAUUGGCGAAUGGGAAGAUCUUAGCAUAUUAAGUUUGAAUCAACUGCGAAGCAUUGCAAAAGACUUGGGUAUUCCCUCAUCAUCAUCAUUGCGCAAGGAAAGUGUAAUUCAAGCAUUGAAGGCGCAUCAUGCCAUGGACUGGAAGGCUCUGAAAGAAAUACUUCCCGACUCAAUACAUCACCGCAAGAAAAUCGGCUCCAGAUCUCACUUCAAGAAUCGAAGGUUUUCCCGAGAUAGUUUAAAAAAGUCAUUGCCAGAGGAUAAUCUUAAUAUGAUACUCAAGGAUAUACCAUUGCUAUCUGAUAUCAAUAUCCCUGAAAUUUUUCAGAUAAUUUUAAAAGACUCACAUCAACUCCUGCAAUACCUGAUUUGACUGGUAUCAAGUCUGUUGUACUUAAAAACGUCCUUUUAUUGAACCACAGUCUCAAUUCGAUAAGUAUUUAGAUACAAGUCAGAAGAAUUUCAGUAAAAUGAAGUCAAAAUUUACUCCAAAAACCUCGCAUCAAAAUCUAGGAGUUAUACCCGACUAUUAUAUGCCUUCACGACUACAAGCAUUUCAGUGCCGUCGAGCGGAGACCUAUGUUACUUAUACUUCAUUAAAUCCAAUUUCUUCAAUCGGUGAUGGAUUUUCAAAUGAGUUUCAAUUUUUUCAGUCUUAAUGCUCUUAGAUUCCUAUUUGUAUUUAAUUAUGUUUUGGAUUGUAGUCGUUAAUCUAUCUUUAAUAUUAUUUGUUAUUAUUUUUUAUAAAAAAAUAUAACUUAUUUAAUCAAUCUGUAUCUAGAUUGAUAGUUUGCAAGUUAGACAAUAAUCGUGUAAUUAUUAAUUACGUAAUACUAUUGGUAUCCAUUGCAGAGUUUGAUUAAAUUGGCUCAAUCAAUGUUAAAUUAUAUAUUAUUCAAAAUCUAUAUUGAAUGGUUGCAUAUAGUAUAACGAAUCUGCA